CCGUUAGCCCGGAGCUAGCCGUUAGCCAAACACGGAGACGGGAAGACUCGUCCGGCACAGGGGAGAAGACGGUCCGUAUUGUGGCAGUGGGCGAGGCACGGAGGACGGGCGGGAGGCAGCCGACAGCCAGCUACCAACGGCAGAGGUAUCGGCUCGAGGCAAAAACCGGACCGGGACGGCUCGAUGGCUGCCCCGGGAGAAAAGUUAAAAACCUUUUGUUGCAGCGCUGGGACGAUGGAGAAAUCCGGGUGUUCGCCGCUGACAGCGGGAGGCGGCCAACAAUCCGCUGAUGUUGGAGGAGAUGUCGGGAGCCUCACUCACAUGUCCUAACUUCUUCGGAGGAGGAGCAGAUGAAGAGGGGAACAAUGAAGGCAGCACGCGUAGGAUACUG
ensembl:lncRNA